UAGCUCAGUCGGUAGAGCAUGAGACUUUUAAUCUCGUGGUUUGUGGGUUCGAGCCCAAU
rnacentral:tRNA from 1 species